UGCCCUUGACAUCCUCGGAAUCUUACAGAGAUGUGAGAGUGCCUUCGGGAACCGAGUGAC
rnacentral:rRNA from 1 species